UGAACGUUGGCGGCAGGCCUCACACAUGCACGUCGAGCGGAUGAAGGGAGCUUGCUCCUGGAUUCAGCGGCGGACGGGUGAGUAAUGCCUAGGAAUCUGCCUGGUAGUGGGGGAUAACGUCCGGAAACGGGCGCUAAUACCGCAUACGUCCUGAGGGAGAAAGUGGGGGAUCUUCGGACCUCACGCUAUCAGAUGAGCCUAGGUCGGAUUAGCUAGUUGGUGGGGUAAAGGCCUACCAAGGCGACGAUCCGUAACUGGUCUGAGAGGAUGAUCAGUCACACUGGAACUGAGACACGGUCCCGACUCCGACGGGAGGCAGCAGUGGGGAAUAUUGGACAAUGGGCGAAAGCCUGAUCCAGCCAUGCCGCGUGUGUGAAGAAGGUCCUCGGAUUGUAAAGCACUUUAAGUUGGGAGGAAGGGCAGUAAGUUAAUACCUUGCUGUUUUGACGUUACCAACAGAAUAAGCACCGGCUAACUUCGUG
rnacentral:rRNA from 1 species